CUUAUCCUCCGGUGUAUUAUUUGAGCCAGUUUGUAGCUUAGUUAUAUAACUGUGUUACAUAACUAAGCUACAAAGUGGCUCAAAUAAUACACUGGAA
rnacentral:pre_miRNA from 1 species